GGAGAGGUGGCUGAGCGGCUGAAGGCGCACGACUGGAAUUCGUGUUUACGGGCAACCGUAACGAGGGUUCGAAUCCCUCCCUCUCCG
rnacentral:tRNA from 1 species